rnacentral:rRNA from 1 species
GAUGAACGCUGACAGCAUGCUUAACACAUCAGCGACUGAUUGGUGGCGGUCGCGUGAGUAUCGCUUAAAGAUCUUCCCUCACAGCUAGGGACAACAUUUGGAAACGAAUGCUAAUACCUAAUCCUGUGUGAGAGCUUUGCGUCACAGUAGCUAGUUGGAGAGGUAACGGCGCACCAAGGCGAGGAUGGGUAGCCGGCCUGAGAGGUUGAUCGGCCACAAGGGGACUGAGACACGGCCCGUAGGCAGUCGGGAGGCAUGAGUGGGGAAUAUUGGACGAUGGACCAAAGUCUGAUCCAGGAAUUCUGGGUGCACGAUAAAGUUUUCGGGAUGAAAAGUGCUUUCAGAUGAGAAGCGGUACCAACAGAAGAAGUGACGGCUAACUACGUGCCAGCAGCCGCGGUAAUUC